rnacentral:rRNA from 1 species
UAGGGAAUUUUCGUUCAAUGGGCGCAAGCCUGAACGAGCAAUGCCGCGUGAGUGAGGAAGGUCUUCGGAUCGUAAAGCUCUGUUGCAGGUCAGAAAAGAAGGAAA